CCUACGGGUGGCUGCAGUAGGGAAUUUUCGUCAAUGGGCGCAAGCCUGAACGAGCAAUGCCGCGUGAACGAGGAAGGUCUUCGGAUCGUAAAAUUCUGUUGGAGGGGAAAAAGAGCGGAGAGCGGAAAUGAACUCCGAUUGAUAUUACCCUUCGAGGAAGUCACGGCUACCUACGUGCCAGCACACGCGGUAAUACGUAGGUGGCGAGCGUUAUCCGGAAUGAUUGGGCGUAAAGGGUGCGUAGGCGGCCUGCUAAGUCUGGAGUGAAAGGUACCGGCUCAACCGGUACAGGCUCUGGAAACUGGCGGGCUAGAGAGCAGGAGAGGGCGGUGGAAUGCCAUGUGUAGCGGUAAAAUGCGUAGAUAUAUGGAAGAACACCAGUGGCGAAGGCGGCCGCCUGGCCUGUUACUGACGCUGAGGCACGAAAGCGUGGGGAGCAAAUAGGAUUAGAUACCCCUGUAGUC
rnacentral:rRNA from 1 species